rnacentral:rRNA from 1 species
AUUGAACGCUGGCGGCAUGCUUUACACAUGCAAGUCGAACGGCAGCACGGGGGUAACCCUGGUGGCGAGUGGCGAACGGGUGAGUAAUGCAUCGGAACAUAUCUUAAAGUGGGGAAUAACGCAUCGAAAGGUGUGCUAAUACUCCAUAUACUCUAAGGAGGAAAGCGGGGGAUCGAAAGACCUCGUGCUUUAAGGGUGGCCGAUGUCUGAUUAGCUAGUUGGUGGGGUAAAGGCUUACCAAGGCGACGAUCAGUAGCUGGUCUGAGAGGACGAUCAGCCACACUGGGACUGAGACACGGCCCAGACUCCUACGGGAGGCAGCAGUGGGGAAUAUUGGACAAUGGGCGCAAGCCUGAUCCAGCAAUGCCGCGUGGAUGAAGAAGGUCUUCGGAUUGUAAAGUCCUUUCGGCGGGGACGAUGAUGACGGUACCCGCAGAAGAAGCCCCGGCUAACUUCGUG